GCCUCCGCGCCGCUCUGUGCUUAGGUGGCCGCGAGGCCGCCUCGACCCAGGGGAGCAGGAAGGAAGCCCGGGAGCGCCCUGCACCUGUGCCUGCCUCUGCGCACCUCCCCAAGAGCCAGGGCCAACGAGGGGUCCCCUCACCCUCAAAUCUACCUCCUCAGAGAGGCUGGUCCUCCCGGGCCUGCCGCGAUCCCUCGGGGUGGUCUCGGUGAGUCAGGGAGGGUCCUUGAAAUAGGGGUCCGGGGCCCGGCCCUCCGACCUGACGGGGACAGCGAGUCACUCAGUGAGUUUGAACAGCUACCUGCUCCUCUGGGCCUCAGUUUCCUCCCUGUGAAGUGAGGGACGGGGCUAAAGGCUGGUAUCCCUGAGCUGAGGCUCCGGAGUUCAGUCCAUCGCCACCAGCUCAGGCACGGAGAAGACAGUCGACCUACGCACAGGAGCCAGGGAAACCGUGUGACCCAAAGUUAACGGGGAGAAACCCAGAAAGUUCAGAAAGCCUCAGCCUUUCCUCAGAAAACCUGGAAGAUGCAAUGCCCUGGCUGAUUUGGACUUGUAUGCCUUACCUGUGAGCAAGUCAUCUCCUGGGAACACCUCUAAUUUUUAAGAUUCCAAUGAUGCCACCACCUGACAUGUUUUUAACCACACAGUCCCAGGAUCCAGGCCAUGGGAUGCUUGCUAAUGGGGCCUUGGGGAGCUGAAUUUAGAGGCUGAGUAUCCUCUGAUGGGGUCAGGGAGGAAAGGAUUUGGUUGCACCUCCAGCUUGCACAGGGCUCCCGACCAGCCCGGCCCAGCCUCCUCUGUACUAUGCUCUAGCUUAUGAGGCCUCCUGGUUCCACCCACCACCUGGCAGGGCCAACCUCUUUGUUCUCCUUGCCUCGUGGGGAUAAGGAGAACCUCACUAAGUCAUCCAGUUCGAGGAGACCCAGAUGUGGAGUCAGCCCCCAUUCUACUCUGCCACCCCACCCUCCCCACCUGGGGGAGUGACAAUCUCUGGGACCUGAACUCGGUGACUCCACCUAACCCCAAACUUCAAGAACAUCGGUGGCUGAGAGCCCAGGAUCUCCUUCCCACAAAGCCACAUGUUCUACUAGCCAGACUUGGGGUCUGAGGUUUGAGAGACAGUCGCUCUGCCCUCUCAGGUCACCACUCCAACUUUCCUCCAGCCGUCCCUUUUUCCUACCCACGGCCCUGUGCUUAUUCAGGCCCAAAGCCAGGGAGACCACAGGUCAGGAUCUCACAAGUAUUGCAAUCCUAGUGCAUUCUUGUCCUAUGUAAAAUUUUCGAUCUUUUCCUAAAACCGAUUUAUUUUCCGUUUUAUUAUCCUGAAAUGUAAUUGGUCUUCUCCUCUUUCAAGUAUAGCUAUUCACUAGCCCAUACUUAUAAACUUGUACCCUUCAGAAAGGAUUUCUUGUUCUCUUUCUUGUAUUUUCUCAUUUUACCUUGAAAGUGCAGCCUUAUCUUCUGUAUUCCCACAGGCAGUGCUGAGAACACCCAAUAAGGUGCACCCAACAGAAACAUUUUAUGCUGUUUGUCAGUUGCUUGUUUGGGGAGAAGGGGCCACAGAUGGGUAAAUUUUCUUGGCUUUUCUUGCUUAACUAC
rnacentral:lncRNA from 1 species